GUGCUCACUUCUGCAGUACAUAUACUAAAAUUGGUAUUAUACAGAGAAGAUUAGUAUGUCCCCUGCACAAGAAUGAUAUGCAAAUUUGUGAAAUGUUCCAUAAAUUA